rnacentral:rRNA from 1 species
AAUUGACGGGCCCGCACAAGCAGCGGAGCGUGUGGUUUAAUUCGAAGCAACGCGAAGUAACCCUUACCAGGUCUUGACAUCCCGAUGCUAUUUCUAGAGAUAGAAAGUUACUUCGGUACAUCGGUGACAGGUGGUGCAUGGUUGUCGUCAGCUCGUGUCGUGAGAUGUUGGGUUUAAGUCCCGCAACGAGCGCAACCCCUAUUGUUAGUUGCCAUCAUUCAGUUGGGCACUCUAGCGAGACUGCCGGUAAUAAACCGGAGGAAGGUGGGAUGACGUCAAAUCAUCAUGCCCCUUAUGACCUGGGCUACACACGUGCUACAAUGGUUGGUACAACGAGUUGCGAGUCGGUGACGGCGAGCUAAUCUCUUAAAGCCAAUCUCAGUUCGGAUUGUAGGCUGCAACUCGCCUACAUGAAGUCGGAAUCGCUAGUAAUCGCGGAUCAGCACGCCGCGGUGAAUACGUUCCCGGGCCUU